AGGUAGCUUUGUCGCUUGGCCUGGCCGUCUUCUUACAUUAGGACAUCCUUCAAAGUCUAAGGGGAAGAAGAGCCUAUUGGGUGAUCACUCAUUAUCAUCACCACAGAAGCAGCCCUCUGAGCCCGUUCAAGUGGUAUCAUCAAGAUUCUGAAUAUGUCUUGAGGAAUAUGCAAUUGGGGCCAGAUUAGAACAUGGCGAGGAUUUCAUGAUUCCCCUAGAGUUUGAGCCAGAGGUAUACGGUCGACCCUCGUCAGAUUAUGUCACAAAUGAAGUAUUGAAAGAGAUUCUGACGCAUGGAAUGGCCAGCACAAAUGCCUGUAACUUUUAUAUCAGAUAUCUUUUCAAGAACUUCAUAGCCCCUGGUGGCCUUGAUGACAAGUUCAAGAUUAUCAGCCCCCACACUUUUGCUGGCCACGGA